rnacentral:rRNA from 1 species
GAUGAACGCUGGCGGCGUGCCUAAUACAUGCAAGUCGAGCGAACAGACGAGGCGCUUGCUCCUCUGACGUUAGCGGCGCACGGGUGAGUAACACGUGGAUAACCUACCUAUCAGACUGGUAUAACUUCGGGAAACCGGCGCUAAUCCCGUAUAAUAUCUUGCUCCGUAUGGUUCAAUGGUGAGAUACGGCUUUUCUGUCUCUUCUAGCUGCUUCCGCGCCGCAUUAGCUAGUUGGUAAGGUAACGGCUUACCAAGGCAACGAUGCGUAGCCGAGCGGAGAGGGUGAUCGGCCACACUGGAACUGAGACACGGUCCAGACUCCUAAGGGAGGCAGCAGUAGGGAAUCUGACGCAAUGGGCGAAAGCUUGACGGAGCAACGCCGCGUGAGUGAUGAAGGUCUUCGGAUCGUAAAACUCUGUUAUUAGGGAAGAACAAAUGUGUAAGUAACUAUGCAGGUCUUGACGGUACCUAAUCAGAAAGCCACGGCUAACUACGUG